AGUAACGCGUGAGUAACCUGCCUUCAANAGGGGAUAACAUUCUGAAAAGAAUGCUAAUACCGCAUGACAUAUCGGAACCACAUGGUUUUGAUAUCAAAGAUUUUAUCGCUUGAAGAUGGACUCGCGUCCGAUUAGUUAGUUGGUGAGGUAACGGCUCACCAAGACCGCGAUCGGUAGCCGGACUGAGAGGUUGAACGGCCACAUUGGGACUGAGACACGGCCCAGACUCCUACGGGAGGCAGCAUG
rnacentral:rRNA from 1 species